rnacentral:lncRNA from 1 species
ACCCUCGACUGCUACACAUAAGCUUGAAGUAUAAAAAUACAGACAUCCAAACCACACACUGGAGCUGUAUAUAGCCAUAAAACUGAUGGAAGGAACUGAGAUAAUAAACCAGAGACCUUGAGAUUAUUGACCAAACCAGGUAACAGUAAAUUAGAUUAAUGGAGUGGUGGCGCUGUAUCAUGACAACAAGUGUAGCCACCAGAAGCACUAGAAUUGUGAUAAGCAUAGUGUUGGUGCAA